AACCAUUCUCACCUGCGGCUAGACCUGCGGAGGGAUCAUUAAAAAAUGAUUUUGGGUAUUUUUUAAUACUCCAAGAUUCACCUUGUGUGCAUUGUUUUAAAUGUUAUACUUGGUAGAGCUUUGAUUUUCACUCCUUUGAGCUGAAAUCAACUUCUUGUCAACUCAAUCCAUAGUGUCAUCGCUAAGGACAGUUGUCUAUGAAGCGGCCUACCAAGGUUUUUAUCAAACACUUGUAUUUUA
rnacentral:misc_RNA from 1 species